GCAGGGAAAAACACAGAGCACCAGGAUCCUGAAGGAGCAGACCCACCUACUGUAGGCAAAGAGAAACAAUCCAAUGAACUGAUGGAAGAACUUCUGGAUAAAAUAAAUCAGCAGACAGAGUUCCAGAAUGACCAAAUAUUCUACCACCAGCUGGUCUUCAGCAUGGGAUGAAGUAAGGAAGAACUAUUCCAAAACUCUCAACAUACUGCAAUGUUCCAACUAGAAUGGAUUUUUCAUCAGAGACUUCUGUAAUUUUCUGGAAACAGCUUUCUAGAAGCGAACACCACCAUCCUUCUUGAAUAAAAAAAGUCAGCAAGGGAGCCUCCUUCUCAGCAUUAUCUCAGUCUGCAGAAGUAUAAGAAGGAAAGACGUCUGACAGGAAGCCCAAGAGAAAGCUUCCAUCUGCUGGGGCUUCUGAUUUUCUCAACAGAGCCCCUGCCCUCUAUAGCCACGUAUCUGUGAGAAAUCAGGGUUGGACAAAGCCUCCCUUUGGCUUUCCACGGCAGCGUCAGGAAAUGAAACCAUUGAAGAUGAGACGGAGAGAGAGAGAGAAUCAGUAGUCUGGCUAAUACCUAGAAGCACAUGAUGCCUGGCACCAAAGGACAUGCUGAGGAGCGCACGUAUCAGCACAAAAACCCUGGGUAAUUUAAUAACUGGCCCAGAAUUUGCUGACUGCUUGUUAAUUACUUGAACAAUCCCAAAUUGUCUGACCAAAAACCUACCCGAUGACUCCUCAGCUGUUAGUCCCAGAUGACUAAUAGCAACAGUACUUGUAAUAGUUCCAGGAAUGUAUUUGUACUGCCUUUGCUUUUCCACAACUCUAGCCAAGCUUCUACACACCAAGAACCCUGAAACAUAAAGCCAAAACCUCUCCCUUCUGAUACACUCAUAAACAACUUUGGCUGUUGAUUUAAAUGCAGCAUCCCCUGAAAUACUCCAGAAGAGGUACUCUUAACAGAAGGAGACUAUGAUAGAAGUGUUCUUAACCUAUUGAAGAAAUAUGGCUUCUCAGUUGUUAUUAUUAAAGCAGGUAAGGUGGAAAGGGAGAGGUACAAAACCACAGCCUCUGUGAGGAAGAUCCUACAGGCAAUAUUCUGAAAAUCCAGCAAUGAGAGAAAUUAUAGGUUUCUCUUUUCGGCCCCACAUACCUAUGUCAGUAAUUGCUUAAUGAUAUGGAUCGAUUUCAGGAAUGCAGGCUAGAUAUUUUUUCUGAACUGAAUGACUAGAAGUGACAUAAUUACAUUUGUAUCCUUUCUGAAAGUUGUUUCUCUUUAGAAACUUACACUUGCUCUUGGUAUGUAAGAGUCCUCAAUGAUUUUGCAAACAGAAUACAAAUAGACAAGGAGCCUUUUCAGAUGUUUGUAACCUGCAACAAUCUUACCGUUUGUGUUGUCAUUUAAGAUCCCUAACAAGUUACAUUAACUUUUUUGGCCCUCAAGUACCAUUCAAGCAUUGACAUUAGUCAUAUUCUGAGCUUUGUAUACA